AACAGCAGGAAUAGGACCACGAGGCGAAAUGGGUCCUUGGGGAGGCCGGAAGGAGUCUGUUCAGAGAAAGUGAAUUAACUUCAGAGAUGAAGCUGUGCAGCAUGAAGGUGGAUGCUGUCCCUGAACCCAUAUCCAAAAGCGGUGCAACAUGAAGGGUGAUGCUGGCUCUGAACCCACAUCCAAAUGACUAUAAUUUCUGGACAAGCAGACUUACCAUCAACAGCAGGAAUAGGACCACGAGGCGAAAUGGGUCCUUGGGGAGGCCGGAAGGAGUCUGUUCAGAGAAAGUGAAUUAACUUCAGAGAUGGUAAAUUUUAAAUACCAAGGAGACGCAUGAAAAGCAAAUGGUUACGGUCGGAAGGAAAGGCAAUGUUGGUUCGAGAGACAGUAAAGGUUCUGUAGGAUGACACACCGGCGGAUAGGUCGCUUCCAGACACCGUGUAGGUUCUGUUGGGUGACAUACUGAAGUAGCCUGAGUCACUUCCAGAGGAAGGAUAGCUUAUGCUGGAUGGCAUACUGGAGCCUGGGUCACUUCCAGACACAGUGUAGGUUCUGUUGGGUGACCUACUGAAGUAGCCUGAGUCACUUCCAGAUGAAGGAUAGCUUAUGCUGAAUGGCAUACUGGAGCCUGGGUCACUUCCAGACA